GAAGUGCUUGGGAGAUAUAGGAGUGGUAUGGUUAACUAAAUUGUUUAAUAAGAUUAUAAACUAAAAGAAAAUGUCUGAUGAAUAGAUGUGUAAUAUUUUAGUACCUAUAAGGGAGACGUACAGAGUUGCUCAAACUAUAGUAGAAUUAAACUCAUGAGCCAUACUUUGAAGUUGUGGGAUAGAGUUGUGGACAUUGACUACGUCAUGACACUUC
rnacentral:misc_RNA from 1 species